AGGACGAACGCUGGCGGCGUGCCUAACACAUGCAAGUCGAACGAAGCUCCAAUUCCUGCGACUCGGUCAAAGGAAGCGGAAGACUUAGUGGCGGACGGGUGAGUAACGCGUGAGCAACCUAGCCUUUGGAUGGGGACAACAGAGGGAAACCUCUGCUAAUACCGCAUAAAGUAUCGAGAAGGCAUCUUUUUUGAUACCAAAGAUUUAUCGCCGAAGGAUGGGCUCACGUCUGAUUAGCUAGUUGGUGAGGUAACUGCUCACCAAGGCUGCGAUCAGUAGCCGGACUGAGAGGUUGAACGGCCACAUUGGGACUGAGAUACGGCCCAGACUCCUACGGGAGGCAGCAGUGGGGAAUAUUUGGUCAAUGGGGGAAACCCUGAACCAGCAACGCCGCGUGAAGGAAGAAGGCUUUCGGGUUGUAAACUUCUUUUACAGGGGAAGAAAAUGACGGUACCCUGAGAAUAAGCCACGGCUAACUACGUGCCAGCCGCUGC
rnacentral:rRNA from 1 species